UACGUAGGGACCGAGCGUUGUCCGGAAUCAUUGGGCGUAAAGAGCGUGUAGGCGGCCUUGUUAAGUCUUGCGUGAAAACUCGAGGCUCAACCUCGAGACGCCGGUGGAAACCAUCAGGCUAGAGUCCGGAAGAGGAGAGUGGAAUUCCUGGUGUAGCGGUGAAAUGCGCAGAUAGUCAGGAAGAACACCCGUGGCGAAGGCGGCUCUCUGGUACGUGACUGACGCUGAGACGCGAAAGCGUGGGGAGCAAACAGG
rnacentral:rRNA from 1 species